rnacentral:lncRNA from 10 species
AAAUCAGCGUGUUUUUAUUUCUCCAUCUGUAAACAUCUCUCCAUCUAAUACGGUAACUGCUGUUUAUACAGAGCUAUAAAAACAGAGGUCAGAGCACAGUAAGAUUAUAGUCUUACUUCAAUACAUCCAAUCCAUAAUAAAAUACAAUCUCACAAACGAUCCAGAGGACCCGUUUAGGGGUUCCUUAAGAAUUCAUGUCUGUCAUAUGUAAGGAUUCUAUUCUAUAAUAUUUUCCACAGCUGUCAGGACCCAUUUAAAAGGCAAUAUCCUUUUGCUGGCAUUUGAUUUAGGCUCUGUUUAUACCACGUGGAGGAUUGUUAAUUCUGCGAUGUCUGACUCAGGGGUGUUUGAUUACAUGGAGGCCACCACCAACAGGGUGACACAUGAUGUAGUGUGAGACCGGGGAGCGGGGCUGCAGCCAGGCCCCUGUCCUGAUGAGGUGCGUCUGCAGGGAUGGGACUCAGCGGCGGGGAAAUGAGACGCUCUGUUUUCCAGGCAGCCUGGGCUGGUGGCAGGAAGAGCUCUGGCGAGAGAUGAAUAGGACUUGGCCCAGCCAUGCGCUCGGUGACGGGCGUGAGAGUUCAUUUGCUGCUUGAAGAUUUAGUUCCCAAUUAAUAAGUGGAGAGCCAGCCUGGUGCCUCAGGAGGUGUUCCGGGCUGAACUGUGUCCGCCACCCCCGCCCCAGCCCCCACCUUCUCCAAAAAGUCUAUGUUAGGGUCCUAACCUCGGCACCUCCAAAUGUGACUGUGUUUGGGGAUGGGGCCUUCAAAGAGGUGAUUAAAGUAAAAUGAGCUCAUACGGUCGGGUCAUAAUCCAAUCUGACUGGUGUCCUUCUAAGAGGAGAUUAAGACACAGACACGCGCAGAGGGAAGACCACGUGAAGAUGGGGGAAGACAGCUGUCUGCAAGUCAAAGAGAGAGGCCUCAGAGGAAACCAGCCCUGCUGACACCUUGGUCUUGGACUUCUAGCUCCUGUAUUGUGAGAAACACAUUUCUGUUGUUUAAGUGCCCUAGUCUAGGAUGCUUGGUGCUGACAGCCCUGGAUAACUAACACUAAAGGGUCUUGGGCGGUUCCAGGAUCCAUGGACACUGCUCAGCCUUGUUUGACUAUGUUUUUGUCAUUAGAAGCAGCGCUGUCUGCGGGAAGGUGCCUUUCCUGCCCAGACUACUGAAGGAGACUGCCAGUACAAGAGGCUUUCACUCCCCUUGAGGACACCUCCCCUGAGCCAGACACCGCGUGCAUUCUAACCAUACAGAGACAAAAAGAGAAAGAUGCGGCGUUUUCUUCGUGGCCUCCUGAUGAUACUUGCAGAGACUGCGCCGGCUGAGGGGCUACAUGGAUGCCUGACACAGACCCGGGUCAUCCCAGGCCAGGGCCUGGACAGGCGGGGCUCGCUCCUUCAUUCCUGAGGGCUCACACUGAGCCCCUGAGUGUAUAGGGGGCUUGGCGGUCAUUGUCCUGGCCAUGAGCUGCCCCUUGGACAGGCCCGAGGACUGUCCUGCCCUAUCCCAACUUUGCUAGAGCCCCAGCUUCAGGCAUGGUUGGUCAGUGACCCUGGGAAUGCUUCUCCACGGACAGAGGAGUGGCUCCCUCCCUCUGAACGCAGCAGGACCCUAACUCCAUGUCAUCUGUCACCAAGCACAUGUGAGGGCUCCUCUGUGCCAGGCCCAGGGACACUAAGAGGUGUCACCAUGGCCCUGCCCUCAGGGAGAAGGAUGAGAAACAAACCCACCCAGCAGAUCUACCCUCCCAGGCUAGAGACUGCGUCAGUGCAUUGGAUCAAAUGUACUCACCCUCCACCUCCACACCCUGUGGGGUGUCUCCUCCAAGACUGAGGCUCACAGAUGCCUCCCAGCAAGCCCAGCUCUUACCUCCCAACCAAUCACUCUUCUCCACCGGAGCACCAGGCCGAGGACCAGCUGGCAUUUGGAGCUGCCUUUAGCAAAAAGAUGUGUAUAAUCCCAGGAGUGCAUGGGGCUGUCACUUCAGGAAGUUCCUGAGACCGAGGUCUGUGAGAGCGACAGUGGCCUCUCGGCUGCUGUUUCCCACUCAGCCCUAGGCAUCGCCCCUGGCACCUGCAGAGAGGGAGAGAGGAAUCCCCUACAGUAUUUAAAUUGGCUUUUAAUCUCAUUUUUCGCUGAUCGUACAUAGCUGAAUGUGAGUGUAAAAUAAUGACCAGAGAGUGCAAUGACACUGUAAGUCCCCAAAUCCCUGUUCAGAGGGCUGUGUUCUGUGAUGUGGGCUGCAGUUCCGUAUGGGUCUAUAUGGGUCUACCAUCUAUUCUGUGAUGUUUUGUGUAUGAAUGUGCACGCCAAGGGCUUCAGCCGUGCAGCUACGCCAUGAGGGCUGCAUUAUACAAAAUAUCUAACCGCACAGAACAAGGUGACAAGGACAGCCAUGGAGGCCACUGCCCACUGAGUGUGAGGAUGGCCAUGACACUAAUCUCCUCAGAGUCUGUACAAGGAGCAGGUGAUGGGAGGCCACCUCCACGGCCCAUCCCAGCGCUAUCACUCCUGUAUACAUGAAAUGGCACAGGAAGGCUUCAUGGCAGAGCCCAUGGCUGAUCCCAGCCUUUAGUUAGGGCCUCAGAGAUGCACCAUGAUAGGUACGAGCCCAGGCGCUGACAUCAGACAGACCUGGUUUCUAAUCCUGGCUCUGCUCCUUACAGGCUGUUUGAGCUUGGAAGAAUCAGUUACCCUCUCUGGGCCUCAUUACUUUCAUCUGCAAAGCAGAACAGAUGACAAUCACAGUGACCACACAGGGAGGGGUGAGGGUGAAAACUAAUCACACAAGUAAAGGACUUACUGGUGGCCUGGUGCAGUG